AGAGACAGCAGCCGCCACGGGAAUACGGAGGGUGCAAGCGUUAUCCGGAUUUAUUGGGUUUAAAGGGUCCGUAGGCGGAUCUGUAAGUCAGUGGUGAAAUCUCACAGCUUAACUGUGAAACUGCCAUUGAUACUGCAGGUCUUGAGUAAAUUUGAAGUGGCUGGAAUAAGUAGUGUAGCGGUGAAAUGCAUAGAUAUUACUUAGAACACCAAUUGCGAAGGCAGGUCACUAAGAUUUAACUGACGCUGAUGGACGAAAGCGUGGGGAGCGAACAGGAUUAGAUACCCCCGUAGUCCCUGUCUCUUAUAC
rnacentral:rRNA from 1 species